GACGAACGCUGGCGGCGUGCUUAACACAUGCCAGUCGAACGGAAAGGCCCUGCUUGCAGGGUACUCGAGUGGCGAACGGGUGAGUAACACGUGGGUGAUCUGCCCUGCACUUCGGGAUAAGCCUGGGAAACUGGGUCUAAUACCGGAUAGGAGCCAUUUUUAGUGUGAUGGUUGGAAAGUUUUUUCGGUGUAGGAUGAGCUCGCGGCCUAUCAGCUUGUUGGUGGGGUAAUGGCCUACCAAGGCGGCGACGGGUAGCCGGCCUGAGAGGGUGGACGGCCACAUUGGGACUGAGAUACGGCCCAGACUCCUACGGGAGGCAGCAGUGGGGAAUAUUGCACAAUGGGCGCAAGCCUGAUGCAGCGACGCCGCGUGGGGGAUGACGGCCUUCGGGUUGUAAACUCCUUUCGCUAGGGUCGAAGCUUUUUGUGACGGUACCUAGAUAAGAAGCACCGGCUAACUACGUG
rnacentral:rRNA from 1 species